UGGGGAAUUUUGGACAAUGGGCGAAAGCCUGAUCCAGCAAUGCCGCGUGUGUGAAGAAGGCCUUCGGGUUGUAAAGCACUUUUGUCCGGAAAGAAAUCCUUGGCUCUAAUACAGUCGGGGGAUGACGGUACCGGAAGAAUAAGCACCGGCUAACUACGUGCCAGCAGCCGCGGUAAUACGUAGGGUGCAAGCGUUAAUCGGAAUUACUGGGCGUAAAGCGUGCGCAGGCGGUUUGCUAAGACCGAUGUGAAAUCCCCGGGCUCAACCUGGGAACUGCAUUGGUGACUGGCAGGCUAGAGUAUGGCAGAGGGGGGUAGAAUUCCACGUGUAGCAGUGAAAUGCGUAGAGAUGUGGAGGAAUACCGAUGGCGAAGGCAGCCCCCUGGCCAAGUACUGACGCUCAUGCACGAAAAGCGUGGGGAGCAAACNGGAUUAAUACCCUGGUAGUCCACGCCCUAAAANGAUGUCAACUAGUUGUUGGGGAUUCAUUUUCCUUAGUAACGUAGCUAACGCGUGAAGUUGACCGCCUGGGGAGUACGGUCGCAAGAUUAAAACUCAAAGAAUU
rnacentral:rRNA from 1 species